rnacentral:lncRNA from 1 species
UCUGCGAGAAAUAGAACAAGUCAAAUAUGAAUCCCCUGCCCGUGGUUCAAGUAUUUUGGACGGUAAAGUAAGAGUAAAGUAAGAACGUUCAGAUAUAUUUUACCUGACUGUAUUGUAGUGUUUCCUUCUUUGGUCAAAUUUCAAAUAUUUGUUGUUAUUCUGUGAUGCAAGGUACUUUAAAAUAUUUGGUCCGGAGAAUGCAUGUAGCUAUCCAAUUUUUCAUCUGUCAGUGUUGGGUUUUUAUUGUCACAUGAUAGUGUGGAUGUUACUUGCCCAAGCUCUUAAGCUGCUUACCCUACUACUACAUCCAUCGCACUCUAGAAAAGAAAGAUGAACAUGCUGGGGCUGGUCUAUGGAUUUCAGGAACUGCGUCCAUUACACAUUUAUGUGUGCGUAUUGAGUUGCUCUGACAUACUUAACAGAUGGACCAAAAUAAAUUGCCAACAUAACGCCCCAGAUGAACAAUUUAGAACAGCGGCGAGCAUGAAAGGAAUGCAAGAGAACCUCCAAGCCGUGUCUCCACAAACAAUGCUCUCAACAUAGGAAAGACGUUAAGGACGCUGCCAUCGCCGGUCCGGAAUCGAACCUUGGCUUUUGCCCAGAGACAACCAACCUAGUGAUAGACAGCUUUCCUCACUGGCUUCCUCCGGUGGCGGGCGGGGAGAUCAGGAGGAAGGAAGGAUGGUGGCGGCACCUCACUCUCUCUCACUAGGUUGGUUGUCUCCAGGCGAAAGCCUAGGUUUGAUUCCGGACCGGCGAUGGCAGCGUCCUCAACUUCGUUCCUAUGUUGAGAGCAUUGUUUGUCGAGAUAUGGCUUGGAGGUUCUCUUGCAUUCCUUUGGUCUUGCCGCUGUUCUAAAUUGUUCAUCUGGGGCGUUAUGUAUGACGUCGUGGGUCAGUCCAAGAUGACAACUUUCUCGGGGUUGUCUGAGUCUCGCUACCCACCUACCAGUCUUUUCGGCACUCAAGGGUGAUUGGUGCAUCGGUAAUGAUAGUUUGUUUGGAAUUAUUGCUCUCUGGAGGUGACUGGCGUUGGUCAAGACACGGGUUUGUUGGUCAGUUUAGGACAGGCCCUGGUGCGUUGAAGUUAUAUUGUGUGUGUUCGAGUUGGAGUGGUGUUUGCUUCUCACCGAGCUGUGAUGGAAGCUUGCUUGAAUUUCUUGUAUUUUAUCAUCUGCCUUCUAUAAAAUUAAGGCACUCAAGUUGCAGGUUAAAAAAAAGAUGGACCAAAAUGAUAAUCCGAACAACUGUUCUUAUAAAGCUAUGGUUCGGUGAAGAGCAGCUCAAAGCGAUCAAAAAUCAAUCUUUUCUUAUUCUUUUACAACUAGACUAGAGAUGAUUGCUGGAUACAUCAUCUGGUUCAAGCGUUUUGGCCACCUUCAGCUAUGUUUCGUGGUUCAGAUCUGCAACCGCAACCGCCAUCACCUUUACCGCUUGCCGAGUUCGCUCUCCACUCUCCAGCUAUCGAAUCAUCUGCAGCUUGCUGGCUAAUUGGACCAAGAAGCGGCAUUCGACAGGUGUGUUGGAUCUGAAGAGCAUCGCCAUAAUUCCAAAGCUAGUAGGUUCCUGGUGCCUCCUGUUCCCAAACAAGGGUCUUUAUUUUCCCAUCAUCGUAUCUAAAUUUUAGACUCCAAACAAACAUAGUAGUAUAUGUUUGAGAACACUAGUUACUCGGAAAGACCAAUGUAGGCUACAAGAGGCAGGAGGGUGAGCAGAGGAGAACAUCAGCGGGUAGAUAUAUACGCAGAAAAUAUGACAAAGGUGAGAGCCUCAAAACAGCGGUUGGUAUGGUCUAUUGAACAGAGAGCUAUAGUGUAGUUAGUGCAAGGGGGCUAGGACAACAUAUGCACACAUGUGUGUACUUUAGAUAAUUGUUUCUUGCGAACUCACUCCUUGAGGCAAAAAAAAACAAAAAAAAAACUGGAUCUUGUU